rnacentral:rRNA from 1 species
GGAAGUAAAAAGUCGUAACAAGGUUUCCGUAGGUGAACCUGCGGAAGGAUCAUUAUUGAAUACACAAGGACUGUCGCUGGCUAGGUUCAUUCUUAGCAUGUGCACGUCUACCACACUUUCCACACUUGUGCACCAAUUGUAGAUAACCCUUGAAAGAGGAUUCUAUGUCUUUUAUAAUCUCAUCUAAUGUAUGUCCUUAGAAUGUAACAAAAAAAUUUAUACAACUUUCAGCAACGGAUCUCUUGGUUCUCGCAUCGAUGAAGAACGCAGCGAAUUGCGAUAAGUAAUGUGAAUUGCAGAUUUUCAGUGAAUCAUCGAAUCUUUGAACGCACCUUGCGCUCCUUGGUAUUCCGAGGAGCAUGCCUGUUUGAGUGUCAUUAAAUUAUCAACCAUAGUCUUUAUUGGCUUUUGGCUUGGACUUGGGAUUUGCUGGCCUAGUCAGCUGUCCUUAAAAGCAUUAGCAAGUGAAGUAGACGGUGCACGGCCUCUGACGUGAUAAUGAUCGUCGUGGGCUGGAAGCGUCAUAAUGAAGCUUGCUUUAAUUUUGAAUUUGAAUUUGAAAUUCUAUUACCAUUUUGACCUCAAAUCAGGUAGGACUACCCGCUGAACUUAAGCAUAUCAAUAA